UACGGGGGGGAGCAAGCGUUGUUCGGAUUUACUGGGCGUAAAGGGCGCGUAGGCGGCCUCCGCAAGUCAGUUGUGAAAUCUCCGAGCUUAACUCGGAAAGGUCAACUGAUACUGCGGGGCUAGAGUGCGGAAGGGGCAACUGGAAUUCUUGGUGUAGCGGUGAAAUGCGUAGAUAUUGGGAGGAACACCAGUGGCGAAGGCGGCUCACUGGACCGGAACUGACGCUGGAGGCGCGAAAGCGUGGGGAGCAAACAGG
rnacentral:rRNA from 1 species